GGCGACGCGCCAGUGGGCCGGCGGCCUGGGCCUGGCGCUCAGUUUAAAAGCUUAACCGGGACCGCUGGCGGGCUCCGGAAACGAAACGAAAUUCGCCCCGCUGGCCGCCCUCCGGGCCCUGCCAGUCCCUCCGCGCGCCGCGCUCCCCGGAAUCGACCCUUCUCCCGCCAUUUGCCACCGGGCUCUCGCUGAGCCCGCCCUCCCAGGGCUCAGAGGCCUGCGGCCGCCGGAACCGAACGGGCGGCAUGGCGGCAGGCGUGGACUGCGGAGAAGGGGCUAGCGCCCGGCAGCACGUGUUCCUAGUCCCAGAGUAUUUAAAAGAUGCUUCAAAGAAGAUGAAAAGUGGGCUUAUGUUUGUAAAACUGGUUAACCCGUGUUCAGGGGAAGGAGCCAUUUACUUGUUCAAUGUGUGUCUACCACAGCUGUUUGAAAUAAAAGUUUUCAAGGAAAAACACCAUUCUUGGUUUAUAAAUGAAUCAGUUCAAUCAGGAGGUCUUCUUCACUUUGCCACACCCAUGGACCCUCUGUUUCUGCUUCUCCACUACCUUAUAAAGGCUGAUAGAGAGGGAAAGUUUCAGCCCCUGGAACAAGUUGUGAUGGAUGACAUGUUUCCGAAUUGCAUCUUGUUGCUGAAACUUCCUGAACUUGAGAAGUUACUUCGACAUGUGACAGAGGAGAAAGAAAUAGACAAGAAGAAAUAUUACAAGUACAGCAAAGAGAAGACAUUAAAAUGGCUGGAAAAAAAGGUUAAUCAGACUAUGGCAGCGUUAAAAACCAAUAAUGUAAAUGUCGGUGCCCGGGUACAGUCUACUGCAUUUUUCUCUGGUGACCCGGUUUCCAGUGACAAGGAAGAGGAUUAUAUUUGUUAUGCCCAUGGUCUGAUAUCGGAUUACAUCCCUAAAGAAUUGAGUGAUGACUUAUCUAAAUAUUUAAAGCUUCCAGAACCUCCAGCUUCAGUGCCAAGCCCUCCAUCAAAGAAAGUAAAGUUAUCAGAUGAGCCCAUAGAAGCAAAAGAAGAUUACACUAAGUUUAACACUAAAGAUUUGAAGACUGUAAAGUUAUAUCUCCUAACUGGCUAUUUUGUGCAGCUGUAGUUGUAAGGCAGGGCGCCAUAGGAGCCAGGAGAGUGACACCCAACCCAAAGGGCAAAAGGAUGAGAGAAAGGCUACUUAAACUCUUGAAUUAUCACCCCUGUUGAAGGUGGCAGCACAAAGACAGAAAAGGGACAAGUGACAAAAGAUCCACGCAAGACUUGGCUGCUUCUCACGUGAUUUAAGACACUCCCAAAGGGCUAAAACUUUUUCUUCUGCACUUCCUAGAAAAUCACCAACUGCCAAGAGAUGUAAAGGACUAACCAGGAAUGUUUUAUUUCUGUGAUCAAUACCGCUAGUCCCUUCAGGCAGCAGCAACUCCCCCUGGAGGCGUCUGGCAUGGAACUAGAAAGCACCCCUAGUGUGAUUCUGCCCUGAGGAAUUCAAGCCAUAUCACCCCUCUGCCCCAGCCUACCCCACCAUAAAGGUAUGGGUUUUUAACAGUCUGGUGCUUCAGAUUUCAAAACAUUGGGAGGAGACGGCUCAUUGUGAAAAUCGGGUCAUUUCUUAAGCUGGACCCUGUUGGCCUGCUGUUUUCCUGGGGUCAGGACAGCACUUUUAGGUUUUCAUGUGGUGACUGUAAGUACUAGAUUCCACACCAGAAGACUUGACAGACCGAGUUUCUACCCUUAUUAAAAAAAAGAAAAAGGGGGAAUUGCCGGGAGGACCAGGGGGAGUAGUCAGCACGUUCACUGCCAUGGCAGGGGUUCAGUCCCUGGUCAGGGAGACAGGAUCCGCAAGCUGCAUGGUGCAGCCCCCCCCCCCCCUCAAAAAAAGAAAAAAGAAAGCCUGCCCUUUCUUUACUCCUUAUCAGUUUGGCAGCUUCUAGUUCAUAACAAUACCUGAACAUGUGCAUUUUAUGGUGUGCCGGAGUUGUAAACAUUGCUUCAUUUUUAAAAGAUUUGUCCAAUGUGUG